rnacentral:lncRNA from 10 species
AGCCUCGGGCCAUGCAGCUGGCUGAGUGAGAGCUCCUAACUUGUACUUUCUCCCCUCCCCGGAAGCUUUGGUUUGUUGGGGGAAGCAGAUUCAUAUCAGACCCAAGGCAACUCAGCUGUGAUUGAGAUAGACAUUGAGUCUUUUGGGAGACAGAAGGGAGGGAGAGUGCCAGUCAAAAGGGUUUCGUGAAGAAGGUUGCAUCUGACUGGGACAGUUAGGCCUCUGUGUACCACUUUAAAAGGUGUUGACUUUUCUAGUAAAUAUCCUCCAUGUCAAAGUCUAUCUCAAGAUCUGUUCCAGGACAACCCCGCCUGCAACAGGGCCCAUUUAUGUUCCAGCCAGCACGGUGAUCCUGAGUCUGGGAGGGUGCCCACAGACUGCUUUUGUGAGCAGCAUGCCUUCAGUGGCCAGUCCCCAAGCCCCUCAACUCCAUGUGGAGCAAGGACCAACCACCCCAUGGAGAAGAGGAACCCGCCUGCAAGGCGAGCCAAGAAGGGACCUUUGGAACCAGCCACACUGGACUCUGUAGGGGGCUGGAUGGCUGGCCCCAAAAGGAUAGGUCCAUGUCCUAAGCCCCAGAACCCGUAAAUAUUGCCUUAUUUGGAAAGAAAUUCUUUGUAGAUGUCAUUAGGGAUUUUGAGAUGAAGAGAUCAUCCUGUAUUAUGCAAGUGGGCCCUCAAUCCAAUGGCAAGUGUCCUUACAAGAGUAAGGCAGGGCUGGGUGUGGUGUCUCACACCUGUCAUCCCAGCACUUUGGGAGGCCAAGGCAGGAGAAUAGCUUGAGGCCAGGAGUUCAAGACUGGCCUGGGCAACGUAGUGAGACCCUCCAUCUCUACAAAAAAAAAAAAAAA